AUGAGGAAUGUGGGAGAGUCCUUAAGUGGACACCGAAGGAGCAACAAUACUUUAUGCCAAGGUAUUGGAAACUCUCAGGUACCAGUACCGCAUUCUGAUG
rnacentral:ncRNA from 2 species